CGGUGGAACAUGUGGUUUAAUUCGACGCUACGCGAGGAACCUUACCUGGGCUCGAAGCGCACUUGACUAGCUAUAGAAAUAGCCUCCGCAAGGGGAGGCGUGACGAGCGCAACCCCUGCACGUAGUUGCCACUGGGAUGUCAAGUCGCAUGGCCUUUAUGUCCAGGCUACAUACAUGCAGGGUACAACCGUCGCCAACCCGUGAGGGGGAGCUUCGGAAAAAACUCUGCUCAGUUCGGAUUGCAGUGCAACUCGACUGCAUGAAGCCGGAAUCGCUAGUAAUGGGUAUCAGAUCGACGCCGUGAAUACGUUCCCGGGCCUUGUACACACCGCCGUCACAUCACGAAAGUGGGUUGUACUAGAAGUCGCUGCGCUAACCGCAAGGAGGCAAGCGCCCAAGUAUGACUCAUGAUUGGGGUGAAGUCGUACAAGGU
rnacentral:rRNA from 1 species